UACAGAGGUCUCAAGCGUUGUUCGGAUUCAUUGGGCGUAAAGGGUGCGUAGGUGGCGCGCUAAGUCAGGUGUGAAAUCUCGGAGCUUAACUCCGAAACUGCAUUUGAUACUGGCGUGCUUGAGGACUGGAGAGGAGACUGGAAUUCACGGUGUAGCAGUGAAAUGCGUAGAUAUCGUGAGGAAGACCAGUGGCGAAGGCGGGUCUCUGGACAGUUCCUGACACUGAGUGCGCGACAGCGUGGGGAGCAAACAGG
rnacentral:rRNA from 1 species